GAUGAACGCUGGCGGCGUGCCUAAUACAUGCAAGUAGAACGCUGAAGGAGGAGCUUGCUCUUCUGGAUGAGUUGCGAACGGGUGAGUAACGCGUAGGUAACCUGCCUGGUAGCGGGGGAUAACUAUUGGAAACGAUAGCUAAUACCGCAUGACAACAGUUAUUGCAUGAUAACUGUUUAAAAGGGGCAACUGCUCCACUACCAGAUGGACCUGCGUUGUAUUAGCUAGUUGGUGAGGUAACGGCUCACCAAGGCGACGAUACAUAGCCGACCUGAGAGGGUGAUCGGCCACACUGGGACUGAGACACGGCCCAGACUCCUACGGGAGGCAGCAGUAGGGAAUCUUCGGCAAUGGACGGAAGUCUGACCGAGCAACGCCGCGUGAGUGAAGAAGGUUUUCGAUCGUAAAGCUCUGUUGUAAGAGAAGAACGAGUGUGAGAGUGGAAAGUUCACACUGUGACGGUAUCUUACCAGAAAGGGACGGCUAACUACGUG
rnacentral:rRNA from 1 species